AUUGAACGCUGGCGGCAGGCCUAACACAUGCAAGUCGAGCGGGGUUUUCGGACCUAGCGGCGGACGGGUGAGUAAUGCGUAGGAAGCUACCCGAUAGAGGGGGAUACCAGUUGGAAACGACUGUUAAUACCGCAUAAUGUCUACGGACCAAAGUGUGGGACCUUCGGGCCACAUGCUAUCGGAUGCGCCUACGUGGGAUUAGCUAGUUGGUGAGGUAAUGGCUCACCAAGGCGACGAUCCCUAGCUGGUUUGAGAGGAUGAUCAGCCACACUGGAACGGAGACACGGUCCAGACUCCUACGGGAGGCAGCAGUGGGGAAUAUUGGACAAUGGGCGCAAGCCUGAUCAAGCCAUGCCGCGUGUGUGAAGAAGGCCUUCGGGUUGUAAAGCACUUUCAGUAGGGAGGAAGCGUUGUGUGUUAAUAGUACCCAGCGUUGACGUUACCUACAGAAGAAGCACCGGCUAACUCUGUGCCAGCCGCCGCUGUAACAC
rnacentral:rRNA from 1 species